CUGUAAUAAGGAUUGCAGCGGUAUCCUUUUUUUGAGGAACGAAAAAAAAGAUUUAGCGUAAAGCCUGAUUACUU
rnacentral:sRNA from 12 species